rnacentral:ncRNA from 15 species
ACUUAUGUGGCGGAACAGGUAGACGCGUGGGACUUAAAAUCUCAUUCCAUAGGAGUGCCGGUUCGAUUCCGGUCAUAAGUA